rnacentral:rRNA from 1 species
UACGUAGGGUGCAAGCGUUGUCCGGAAUUAUUGGGCGUAAAGAGCUCGUAGGCGGUCUGUUACGUCGGCUGUGAAAACCUGGGGCUCAACUCCGGGCCUGCAGCCGAUACGGGCAGACUAGAGUUCGGCAGGGGAGACUGGAAUUCCUGGUGUAGCGGUGAAAUGCGCAGAUAUCGGGAGGAACACCAGUGGCGAAGGCGGCACUCUGGGCCGGAACUGACGCUGAGGAGCGAAAGCGUGGGGAGCGAACAGG